rnacentral:rRNA from 1 species
GAUGAACGCUAGCUACAGGCUUAACACAUGCAAGUCGAGGGGAAACGGCAUUAAGUGCUUGCACUUUUUGGACGUCGACCGGCGCACGGGUGAGUAACGCGUAUCCAACCUUCCCAUGACUAAGGGAUAACCUGCCGAAAGGCAGACUAAUACCUUAUGGUCUUCACUGACGGCAUCAGAUGUGAAGUAAAGAUUUAUCGGUUAUGGAUGGGGAUGCGUCUGAUUAGCUUGUUGGCGGGGUAACGGCCCACCAAGGCAACGAUCAGUAGGGGUUCUGAGAGGAAGGUCCCCCACAUUGGAACUGAGACACGGUCCAAACUCCUACGGGAGGCAGCAGUGAGGAAUAUUGGUCAAUGGGCGAGAGCCUGAACCAGCCAAGUAGCGUGCGGGAUGACGGCCCCUAUGGUUUGUAAACUGCUUUUGUAUGGGGAUAAAGUCAAUCACGUGUGAUUUGUUUGCAGGUACCAUACGAAUAAAGGACCGGCUAAUUCCGUGCCAGCAGCCCGCGGUAAUACGGAAAGGUCCGGGCGUUUUCCCGGAUUUAUUGGGUUUAAAGGGGAGGGGUAGGCUGGAGAUUUAAGUUUGUUUGUGAAAAUGAAAAACCCUCAACGUUUUGAUUUGCGGCGCAUUACUGGUUUUCCUUUGAGUAGCCCCGAACGGUGGGGGGGAAUUCCGUCGUGUGGCGGGUGAAAAUGCUAUAAAAAAUGACAAAAAAACUCCGAUUGCCAAGGCCGGUUGAAGGGAGCCGCAACUUAACUCUUAAGCCUCGAAGGUACCGGAUAUCGAAAAGAAUUAAAAACCCUUGGGAGUCCAGAUGCCAAUUUCCAAAAUGAUUGCCGCCGUACUCCGAUCCCCCCCCAAUUUGGGGGGGGCCCCGCACCGCCUUUUUUUUUCAAAAUAAAUAAAAAAAAAUAGA